GUCUUGUUAAAAAUGAAAGAAGCAAUCUGCAAACUUUUCCUCUGCACAGCAGCGAAAUGGUUAAUACAAUGAAAAGAAAAAACGUAAAGGUGCAACCAAACAUGAAUAGCUUAUUGAAGUUAUCUCCUAAAGUUUUCUUCUUCAUGGAGCCUUCCAAGAACCCCUUACUCCGUCAAACCAUCAUCUACAAGAACCACUGCUUGAGACUUUUCAUCAAAGUGUUUCUUCUACCCAGAUGACAUCUAGUUUCUUCUUAUCUGUUAUAUUGAACUUUGGAUAGGGGAUAAGAUGUCUUUGCGCCGCAGUACCCCUUUAAAUAGCAUUUUGAUGUAUAUUUCUUGAUGGUAUAACAGAGAGGAUGGUUUGUUACUAUAUGUAUUACCUGUCUUCGAGUGUUGUGUGUCCCAGUAGGGAUUGGA